UACAAUUUUAAAACAGUUUACAUAUAUUUUAUUCUUUCUAACUCUAAUAGUGCAAAGCUGUUUCUUAUUUUGUUUCUAUUGUUUUCCUGUGUCUUUGGUAUUGUCAGCUUGGGUUGUGUUCACCCUCAACUCAGUGUUCAGGCCAGGUAAUCGUUCAGUAGUAAGCUCAUCUAUUGUUUCUUUUGUUACCUGGUGUUCUCUGGAGUCAGAUACUUUUAAACAUUCAAGCAAGACAGGUGGUUUUCAGCAUUGCAAGUUUUAUAGUUGAUCAAGUUCUGCACGGCACAGUUAUUAACAGCACAGGUAAAUACAAACAUAUAUUUUAAGAUAUAACCAUGUGUUUUAAGUAGUAAACUAGAUUAGUGUAUGCAUAUUUUAUGAUAAGCCUUAAAUUAGAACUUAGCAUGUGUAAGCAGUUGAUAAAACUUAUUCUAUAGCGAACGAGUUAAAGUAGUGUUUAAUAAUGUUUAUAAUUAUAUAGGGAUAUUUGUCUUCUAAGACGAAUAUUUGAUUAGGUUUGAUAAUACAAAUAAGUAAAUAACUAAAUUAGUUAUUAAACUACUUUAUUAUUAAGUGUAUAUAUGAAUAUAUUCUAUGUGUAUAUUUUAUGUGCUCCUAUUUAUAAGUGGUAUUUUGUUGACAGGUUAUCAAUGAUGUAGCACAACCAGCAUCAUUAUUCAAACGACCUGACCCACAGUCGGGUCGUUAUAGAGAUAUAUAUUUGUGUGCGAAUGUUUUUAUAAACAUCGGGAUCUUCACAUCCCUCCAGGUGAUCCCUGAAUAAAGACCUUAAACCCCA